rnacentral:rRNA from 1 species
UACGGGGGGAGCAAGCGUUGUUCGGAAUCACUGGGCGUAAAGGGAGUCUAGGCGGUUUGGUAAGUGGGAUGUGAAAUGCCCGGGCUCACCCCGGGACCUGCAUCCCAAACUGCUGAGCUUGAGUACAGGAGAGGGUGGGGGAAUUCCUGGUGUAGCGGUGAAAUGCGUAGAGAUGUGGAGGAACACCGAUGGCGAAGGCAGCCCCCUGGGCUAACACUGACGCUCAGGCACGAAAGCGUGGGGAGCAAACAGG